GCUGGAUAGCGCAGUUGGUAUGGCAUGGUGCUGAUAAUGCCAAGACUGCAGGUUCGAUCUCUGUAUGGGGCAGCU